UGAAUUAUGAACACUAAAUGCCAGAUUUGAACCCACUGUGCGUCUCCAGUAAUUUGUCGAUUUCCAAAGAACGCAAAUAACAGUUAAUCAGACAUAAAAGUUCACUCACGUGGCUUGCAUAUGCUACGCUCUUAAUGGGAAAUGUUUCUCACUUUGCGCGAUACGCAGCGGCAACAAAAAUUUUCAUAAGCAACAAUGCUACAGACAAGUCAACAGUCGAAGCAACAUGCCCUGAUUGCCUCAACGGUUGCCUCGUGUGUAGUCAGCAUUAGAGUUCAUGAAAUCAAACCAAAUAGAAACUCAAACAAUUUACAAUCUAACAAUUUUUA